rnacentral:rRNA from 1 species
UACGUAGGGUGCGAGCGUUGUCCGGAAUUAUUGGGCGUAAAGAGCUCGUAGGCGGUCUGUCGCGUCGAUCGUGAAAACUUGGGGCUUAACCCUGAGCUUGCGGUCGAUACGGGCAUGACUGGAGUUCGGCAGGGGAGACUGGAAUUCCUGGUGUAGCGGUGAAAUGCGCAGAUAUCAGGAGGAACACCGGUGGCGAAGGCGGUCUCUGGUCGGAUGUCC